GGUGAACGCUGGCGGCGUGCCUAAUACAUGCAAGUCGAGCGAAUGGAUUAAGAGCUUGCUCUUAUGAAGUUAGCGGCGGACGGGUGAGUAACACGUGGGUAACCUGCCCAUAAGACUGGGAUAACUCCGGGAAACCGGGGCUAAUACCGGCUAACAUUUUGAACCGCAUGGUUCGAAAUUGAAAGGCGGCUUCGGCUGUCACUUAUGGAUGGACGCGCGUCGCAUUAGCUAGUUGGUGAGGUAACGGCUCACCAAGGCAACGAUGCGUAGCCGACCUGAGAGGGUGAUCGGCCACACUGGGACUGAGACACGGCCCAGACUCCUACGGGAGGCAGCAGUAGGGAAUCUUCCGCAAUGGACGAAAGUCUGACGGAGCAACGCCGCGUGAGUGAUGAAGGCUUUCGGGUCGUAAAACUCUGUUGUUAGGGAAGAACAAGUGCUAGUUGAAUAAGCUGGCACCUUGACGGUACCUAACCAGAAAGCCACGGCUAACUAUGUGCCAGCAGCCGCGGUAA
rnacentral:rRNA from 1 species